rnacentral:rRNA from 1 species
UACAGAGGGUGCAAGCGUUAAUCGGAAUUACUGGGCGUAAAGCGUGCGUAGACGGUUAUGUAUGUCGGGUGUGAAAGCCCCGGGCUCAAUCUGGGAAUUGCAUUCGAGACUGCAUGGCUAGGGUGCGGAAGAGGGAAGCGGAAUUUCCGGUGUAGCGGUGAAAUGCGUAGAUAUCGGAAGGAAUACCAGUGGCGAAAGCGGCUUUCUGGUCCAGCACCGACGUUCAGGCACGAAAGCGUGGGGAGCAAACAGG